rnacentral:lncRNA from 1 species
GUCGGACAAGUAUUUAGGGAGCAAAUUUGAAGGACAUGAUUGGAUAACAUCGGACCGGCCGGAUGUCCGCCGGCAAUUGGCGGCGUCCGUUUGGUGAUCGCUGGGGAAAAUGAGCGUACUUGGUUGAUUCAGAUAUAGGAACUUCUCAUUACAAAAAAUCACACCGAUAUUACAAAGCUUGUAAAAAAACUGACCCAUCACCCGUACAUUUGCCUGACACACAUACUUAUCCCUCACAACUGUUAUUCUGAAUGAUAGAAGAUCAAGCUAACCCGUGACAUAAAUAGCAACGUCGCUCACUCACUGACAGCAACAAGCCAUGAAAUUUCACUGUUGUGUCGGACGGUGGCAGAUCGGAGUCAGUGGUGUCCGUGGUAUCCACCGCCACCACCACCGCCGUAGGUGGGCGUGGGAGGGACCGGGUGGUAGUCCGGGUGGGGAUGCGGCUUGGGCUCGGGCUUGGGCACAGGGUGGUAGUCAGGGUGGCGCUGGGGCUUGGGCUCCGGCUUGGGCGGCACGGGCUUCUUGUGAUGGAAGUGCUCGAUGAUGUGCUUCUUGAUCGGCCCGCACAGGGUCGUGGACGCGCACUCUGGUGAUGCCAGCGCGUUCGUCUUGGCACCGGCGAUGACACCGAAGGUGGUGCCCUCGGACACCGGCACGAUCUUGGAUGGCUCCUGGCCGGAGCACGGCGCGUUGGAGGCGGCGUUGUGGAGCUGCGCGACGCAGUCGGCGCCGUGGAGGUCGGCGGCCAGGGGCACGCUGAAGGCGCCGCUGCCGUCAAGGGCACCUACCGCCUUGCUCUCGUACUCGCCGUCGACGUUCUUGCACUUGAUCGCCACAUGGAGACCUGAGAUACGUUAACAGGAGGAGGAUAACCAUGAGCCGAUCUCCAUCUAUAUAGCAGAAAAAGCUUGUCCUUCAAAUAAAUAUAUCUAGCACCAAGUUAGUGCUAGAUACAUCCAUUUGAGAAAGUUUGGGACCAAGUUUUUUCGGACAGAGGCAGUACACGAUUGAGCUGCAUAUGUAGCUUACCCUUGAAGGCUUUCUCGGUCUUGAUGUUCUUCCUGGUGCAAUCAGCGCAGGCCAGUCCGACGACGACGGACGCCGCCUCGGCGUUGGCAACAGCAACCGCCAGCAUGACGGCGAGGACGAGUGCUCUCGGAGCUGCCAUGUCUGAACCUCUACCACUUGCUUGCCUGUGUUGGAAGGAUGAAUGGAACAGGCGACGCAUGGCUUAUAUAGGCCUCCGCAUUGAUCGGCACAGCUCGAUGGCGAUCUGGCUGCAUGCUCGAAGCUCGAAGGGUGGUGGGCGGCGAAGUGAUGCGUGACAACGAGAGGCUGGCUAACUCACCGAAAUUCUAGAUGGCGAGUUAAUAUAUACGGCGCCCGCUGCAUGAUCGGAUCGGUCGGUGCGUGUGCCUCCACGUCGCGGUUGGUGAUCGACUUAUUUUGGUGGUGGAGUAGCGUAGGUUGGCACCGGCUAAAAAUGCUAAACAUACAAAUAAGUAUACAAGUUUACAAACUCUUUCUAUCUACUAACCAAUCACAAACUUGCUCACCCCUCCCUCCCAACCCUUGAUUUUCAGGGGAUGGGCCGCCUCCCCACUUAGUGACCAAUCAAGUUAACCCUCUUUGUAAAACCUUGUAACUCAUUUGUACGUGUAGCAUUACUGGGCACCGGCCGCCUGUACAUGCAUUUGCUUGCGUGCGUGCAUGCAGCGUAAGUUCUCGUAGUAGUAUUCCCUCUGUUUUUUUAUAGUCUGCAUAUAAGAUCUGGCCAAAGUCAAACUUUGUAAAGUUUGACCAAAUUUAUUUGAAAAAAUAUCAACAUCUACAAUAUUAAAGCUAUAUGAUAUGAAAAUUAAUUUCAUGAUGCAUCUAACAAUAUUGAUUUCAUAUUGUGAGCCAUGGUAUAUUUUUCUAUAAACUUAGUUAAAGUUGAUAAAGUUUGACUUUGAUCAAAUCUUAUAUACAGACUAAAAGAAAACGAAGGGAGUGGUACCAAAAAUGCUACACCUACGUAAUGUUUGCUGGUGGUAAGCUGGUGUUGGAUCGACAUCACAGAAUUGCUGCAAAGUGAGUAGUGAGCUUGUGUGUGAACUGCAAAAACGGCUUACAUCAAGUUACAUAGGGACUAGAAUGUUACAUAUGAGCAGUUUCUAAUUAUGUUUAAUCGAAGAAAACAUGGAUAUAAGAUGAUCAAUAUAGUUAACAUGAUAUUCGAACAAGAGAAGUUUUUUUUUAAACACAUUAUAGACGCAGGCGGUAGUACAUACGCACAUACACUCGCUCAUAUAAAUAUGCACACAUGCACACCCUACCCCUAUGAGCACCUGAGAGACUGAGCCGGCACAUCAUCUUGAGUUUGACGCUAUCGUAGUUGACGGGACGUCUCGUCUCACUGAACGCACAUAGUCAGAUGACCUAAAAUAAAUUCAGAAAAAUGCGAGCACGUGUUAAGUCUAGGACUUGAACUCUGAUGGGCUGGGGAUACCACUAUUCUCAUAACCAUCCGACCACAAGUUGGUUCGCUCGAACAAGAGAAGUUGUUAAGCAAAAAAGACAUGCUAUUUGAUGUGUAUGGUAUACAUGGCAUGUCCAGAUCGAAUACUAAUAUAGUAAGGAACCGGAAGUAAUCGUUAAUGGAGGGGGAAAAUAAUGUAUGAUGUGGCAGAUGAAGAAGCGUUAGCAGUCAGCGCACCGCGAAUGGUGGAAAUGGCGUGGAGGGAUGGGGAGUCGUCGUCGGGGAAGUAGUCUUCGUUGUAUGCCUCAAUGUCGGUAGAGCUCUCCCUAAAAAUCCUGAUCUCCUCUCUCUCAUACAUGAUCACAAUAGAAGGUUCCGAAGUCCUAUUGUUCCACGUCAUGGUGCAUGAGGAAAAGUGGAAUGGGAAAGACGUAAGGGGCGCAAAGAUCUUGAACUGAAGGAUGUUCUCAUGCACGUUUCUAUGUAACCCCAUCUAUGGAUAGAGGAGCAAUCUCUAAUAGACUAACAACCGAAACCGGUCCACUAUGGAAGAGUUGGAGAUGAAGAGUCUACAAAUGUUCAGUUUAAUCCUUCUACUAGUGCAUAAUGUUUCGAAUCCUGUCACGCACGACAAGAGGAGUGACACACAUGUGACAUAGGUCAUAGUUCAGCUCGUUCACGAAACACAAAGCGCGUCAGGCGAGGUGAUGUCAUGCAAAUGCAUAGAGUUUAGUUGUAGCUGUUUUUGAAGUAAGAGUAUUGAUCGAUCCCACAAGAGCUGAGAAAAUGGUCUUUUGCCCCUUAUAGAGGUUUAUCCGAAUUUGCCUGCAAAUUAUUUUACGUCCCAAGCAAAAGCGGUGUGAAAGGUGAAAUAUUGCAAGAGUGUGUGUAUGUGUGAAAGCGAGAAUUAAAGUGCACACAAACAAUGACUAAGAAUAAGAGAGUAAUGAUAAUGAUGAAAACUCCAAUAGGGCCAAAAGGCAUUCUCAUAUAGUCUGUAUGUACCACAUGUAUUUAUUAUACUUAAUUGUGUAGAAACACAACCUUUGGUUCAAAUACUUGAUCCAUGUUAUAUAUGUAUUGCGCGGGGAGAGCCAAUAAAAGCUAUUGGCAUAUUACCGAUGUUCUAUAUCACGCACGUCAUCACCAUCCCUCCAAUGCAUAUCGGCAGAGUACGAUGGUGAUUAAGGGUCUCUCCGGGGAUGCGGAUUAAAACACUUGAGUAUUUGUUGUUUCCUUGCCAAUGAUUUGGUAAGGAGAGAGAUAGCUUCUAUCACUGUUGUACCUCUAACCCCUCAUCACAAAGAUAUAAUAUCCAUCAAAUCCUGAUGGGCUAAAUAUUGUGCAGUCGAUGUUGGCACAAUAUCAUGAAGAACAUUAACACAAUUAUAUAACAAAGAUUGCAUAUAUUAUUGUCAUUAGGAUCAUAUAAAUACUAGGGUUCCCCAUAUCCACAAGAAUUGGUAAAUUACUCAGGCAUAGAGGCACGAGACAUCGUCGAGGUGUCCAUGGCAAUGGAAGAUGAAUUAUUAAUGUAACACACGUAUAAAUCUAGACUAGGGUUUGGGAAUACAACAAGAUGAAUGAGGGAUAGUCAAUUUUGAGUAUGUGGAUGAUAUUGCUAAUGAUGAUGGCUGAUGUCAUGGCCUCGGUGGUCGAAGCUUUGGCGAGGUGGUGCCCUUCUACUAAUUCGCACUUCGGAUCCCUUCUGGGGAUGAGGUUUUCUACUUCUAUUUCAUGGUCUGUGAUAUCUCUGUUAGGCACGUCUGAGAUCCCAUUGCACGGGGUGGAAGUUGUCCACCGGGUGGAGGUGGCGCCGUGCGGUAUGAACAGUCGCGCUCGUAUUGUGCGUCGUCUUCUCUCCUAGAUAGCUGGUCGUGGCUAGUUUUCCUCCCACAUUCUCGUCUCUUCGUAUAGAAGUCUUUAUGACGUCUAAUCAGCAUAUUAUUCACACCAAAAAUAGAUGUUUUACAUUUAGUGGUCAAUAUCCUGGGAUCUUGAUGACAUCAAGCGAAAGGGAAAGCAACUGUGAUAAAGUGCAAAAAAUUAUGUGGUUAUUGAGGCCAAGUUCUCGCCCCAAGUGCGGUUGAGCCUCGCCCUUGAUCUAGCGUGUAAUGGUGGAUGACUGCUUCAACGAUGCUAGUGGUGUUUCUUUUCUACUCCCUCCGUUCCUAAAUAUUUGUCUUUCUAGAGAUUUUGACAAGUGACUACAUACGGAGCAAAAUGAGUGAAUCUACACUAAAAUAUGUCUAUAUACAUCAGUAUGUGGUAGUCCAUUUGAAAUCUUCAGAAAGACAAAUAUUUAGAAACGAGGGGAGUAUGAGAGUGCUGGUUAUGUCGUGACCUGUUAGCUAUGUGUAAGCACUGUGUAUCUGCCAUUUUAUUUUCUUGCUUGUUGUAAGUGUGGUCGAUGUAAUUGCUGACUGAUUAAUGGCUCCAGACUUUUCUUAAACCUUCAUUAAAAGAAGAGUAAAUUUGACAAAGAGAGAAUGUCGGACAAGUACUUAGUAGCAAAUUUGAAGGACAUGAUUGGAUGACGUCCGCCCGGCCGGAUGUCCGCGGACAUUUGGUGGCGUCCAUUUGGUGAUAGCCGGGAAAAAAGAGUGUACUCCCUCCGUCUAGAUGAGCAAGUCAUCUUAGAUUGUGCACCGUGACCAAGGAGGAGGAGAAAACGAGAGAACUUAAUGUUCAUUUGUUAAUUAAUAGCAUUGCAUGCAAUGAACUAAUCACUGCAUGUCGUGUUUGGUAAUCUCAAGUCAUUAAAAGCAUGCACACCCCACAUCUCUUAUUGGUUGAUAUGUCAAGAAACAAGAAACAAGGUAGAAUUUAAUGCACCGCGCCUAACUGUUUUGGGAUUAUUUGGUUUCGUAAGAUGACUUACACACCUAGACGGAGGGAGUACUUGGUUCAUUCAGAUAUAUAGCGACUUCCCAUUACAAAAAAUCACACCGAUAUUACAAACCUUGUAAAAAAACUGACCAUCACCCGUACAUUUGCCUGACACACAUACUUAUCCCUCACAACUCUUAUUCUGAAUGAUAGAAGAUCAAGCUAACCCCUGACAUAAAUAGCAACGUCGCUCACUGACAGCAACAAGCCAUGAAAUUUCACUGCUAGGCCGGAUGGUGGUAGAUCGGAGUCACUAGUGGUGUCCAUGGUAUCCACCACCGCCGCCGCCGCCGCCGUAGGUGGGCGUGGGAGGGACGGGGUGGUAGUCCGGGUGGGGCUGCGGCUUGGGCACGGGG